UACGUAGGGCGCAAGCGUUGUCCGGAAUUAUUGGGCGUAAAGGGCUCGUAGGCGGCCAACUAAGUCGGAUGUGAAAUCCCCAGGCUUAACCUGGGAACUGCAUCCGAUACUGGAUGGCUUGAAUCCGGGAGAGGGAUGCAGAAUUCCAGGUGUAGCGGUGAAAUGCGUAGAUAUCUGGAGGAAUACCGGUGGCGAAGGCGGCAUCCUGGACCGGCAUUGACGCUGAGUGAGCGAAAGCUAGGGGAGCAAACGGG
rnacentral:rRNA from 1 species